UACGAAGGGGGCUAGCGUUGUUCGGAAUUACUGGGCGUAAAGGGCGCGUAGGCGGUGAUCUUUGUCAGAGGUGAAAGCCCGGGGCUCAACUCCGGAAUUGCCUUUGAAACGGGAUUGCUUGAGUCCGAGAGAGGAUGGCGGAAUUCCUAGUGUAGAGGUGAAAUUCGUAGAUAUUAGGAAGAACACCGGUGGCGAAGGCGGCCAUCUGGCUCGGUACUGACGCUGAUGCGCGAAAGCGUGGGGAGCAAACAGGGAU
rnacentral:rRNA from 1 species